AGAAGCGCCCCCAUUCCUCCUGCCGCUCUGAAGGCUUCGAGGUGCAGUGGCUGCAGAGGUCGAAGCCCGAGACUUCAGAGGACCAGCAGACCCGCUACCUGUUUUUCUGAAAAGUACUAACUCCACCUCCGCCCCCGCCCGGACUCAGCCGCCGCAGUAUCCACGAUAGGCACCCUCCAUUCGACACAUCAAACCUCAGGCGACCCCUCCCCUCAGGCGACCCCUCCACUGAGACCUCGGUGAUUCUCGCGGACCUGUACGUGCACCCAACGGCACCACUUUCCGGGCUGCCCUUUGCAGCCAUCGCACUCCCAGUACCCCCGCCUUGGCCGCCGCCAUCUUCACCUUCUUCCAGUUUCACCCCGCACAUGCGCAAAGGCCUGUCACGGCGGCUGAGCUGGGCCAAACGCGAUAAGGGAGAAACAUCUCAAAGGUUCAAUAAGGGCGUGGCUUAAAUGGUGCUGGGAAGCCAUGGGGGAAGUUGAAAUCAGAGGCAUCCAGGGAUAACAGGAACUCAGAACCGGGGCAUCACAGGUGGACGGCUGACCCACCUUUCCCAGGAGCUCUACAAGUAAAAUGACCCUUCCUUAAUCUCUAGCUGCUUGCCUUUUUCCUCUCCUUCACUGGCCCUUUCUCCUUCCAUUUCCAAACAUGAUCAUUAUUGAAAUUCA